rnacentral:lncRNA from 1 species
CCCUUAAGGUAACAUUGGCACAAAGGCUUAUUUACCCUACGUAUGCGUUCCCACACAACAGGAGCAGAUGAUAAUCCACAUUAAUGGUGCGUGAAAUAAAGCAUUUUCUGUGCUUAUAUUUUCGCUGCCGCUCCAAUAUGGUGUGA